rnacentral:rRNA from 1 species
GAACCGUGCAAACGUUGUUCGGAAUCACUGGGCUUAAAGGGCGCGUAGGCGGGUUCCCAAGUCAGGGGUGAAAUCUUUCGGCUCAACCGGAAAAGUGCCCCUGAUACUGGGAGUCUGGAGGGAGGUAGGGGUCUGUGGAACUCUCGGUGGAGCGGUGAAAUGCGUAGAUAUCGGGAGGAACGCCGGUGGCGAAAGCGACGGACUGGACCUUCUCUGACGCUGAGGCGCGAAAGCUAGGGGAGCAAACGGGAUUAGAUACCCCGGUAGUCCUAGCCCUAAACGAUGGGUACUAGGUUGUGGACUUGACAUGGGUUCACAGCCGAAGCAAAAGUGUUAAGUACCCCGCCUGGGGAGUAUGGUCGCAAGGCUGAA